rnacentral:lncRNA from 1 species
CUGUGAGUCCGAUGGCGGCGAUGAUCACCAUCUCUGUACCUGUCCUGUUCAUAUCGCUCCCUACUUCUGCUCCGGCUUCGCCUUCUAUAGUCUCUGUCCUGAUAAUCCUCUCGAUACCUUCACAAAUGGCUAGCACUCAUAUUAAAAAUAAAGAUAAUUCAUCUGAAAUACUAUACCAAUUUUAGUACUAUGAGUAACAGAGCUAUCAUCCCAGCUGAAAAUUUCUUAAGUUAUAUUGUAUAGGUCUAAUUUGGUGCCUUCGUGGUACCAUUUGGGCACUUGAGCAAUAACCAUGAAACACAACACCAUUUUGCAGGGGCCCUUGUAUGCUAUAGCCUAUCACAAAGGUAAUAUGUGCAGCAUACAUUCAUUUUCAUUUCAUAUUUUAUAGUGGAAUAGUAUUCCUUUAAUCCUCUUUAUUUGGCAUUGUAGCAGUUAAACGAGACAGCUAGGAGUACAUCUCUACUAAAGUAGUGAAGUGUGCCUAUUCCAUUUAGUGCAAGCAACACUUUUCUUUGUUUAUUGGUUAAUAAGCCUAAACAUGAGCAGUUUGGGAGACAAACAUAUUUAGUACGCAGCAAGAUUCACAAAGUCAAUAAGGGCAUGAGGUCAUAGCUAGCUUUUCCUUCAGUGCAUGCAAUUUUGAAACAUCAUACACAAAGGGAACAGAGGGAGUACCAAGUAUGUCAUUGUCAAGAUUCAAAUAUGCAGGCUAUUUCUUACCUUGGUCUUGGACUGCGGCUUCUGAAACGACCCCUUGGCUUUGGAUUUUCUUCUGUAAUUCUACCCCUAUGGCUGCAAACACAAACAAGAAGGCAAUGCUUAAUAAGUGAAAUUGCUUUU